rnacentral:rRNA from 1 species
UCCCAGCAGUCCGAGUCGCAGCCACAAUUGUUGGGUCUAAAACAUUCGUAGCUUGCCUUUCAAGUCUUUUGUGAAAUCGGGCCUCUUAAGGGUCCGGCGUGCAAAGGAUACUGUUUGGCUAGAGACCGGGAGGCGCAAGGAGUACAGACGGGGUAGCGGUAAAAUGUGUUGAUCCCAUCUGGACUAACAAUCGCGAAGGCACCUUGCGAGAACGGAUCUGACAGUGAGGAAUGAAGGCUAGGGGCGCAAAGUG